rnacentral:rRNA from 1 species
AACGAACGCUGGCGGCAGGCCUAAUACAUGCAAGUCGAACGGGCGUAGCAAUACGUCAGUGGCGGACGGGUGAGUAACACGUGGGAACAUGCCUUUCGGUUCGGAAUAACGCAGGGAAACUUGCGCUAAUACCGGAUGACCCGGCGACGGAAAAGAUUUAUCGCCGAAAGAUUGGCCCGCGUAGGAUUAGCUAGUUGGUGAGGUAACGGCCCACCAAGGCGACGAUCCUUAGCUGGUUUGAGAGAACGAUCAGCCACACUGGGACUGAGACACGGCCCAGACUCCUACGGGAGGCAGCAGUAGGGAAUCUUGGACAAUGGGGGAAACCCUGAUCCAGCCAUGCCGCGUGAGUGAUGAAGGCCUU